rnacentral:rRNA from 1 species
CGGCAAGAGCUCAGAUUUGAAAUCGUGCCAAUUUUUUUGGCACGAGUUGUAGAGUGUAGGCGGGAGUCUUUGUGGAGCACGGUGUCCAAGUCCCUUGGAACAGGGCGCCUGAGAGGGUGAGAGCCCCGUGGGGUGUCGUGCGAAGCUUUGAGGCCCUGCUGACGAGUCGAGUUGUUUGGGAAUGCAGCUCCAAGUGGGUGGUAAAUUCCAUCUAAGGCUAAAUACUGGCGAGAGACCGAUAGCGAACAAGUACUGUGAAGGAAAGAUGAAAAGCACUUUGAAAAGAGAGUGAAACAGCACGUGAAAUUGUUGAAAGGGAAGGGUAUUGGGCCCGACAUGGGGAGUGCGCACCGCUGUCUCUUGUAGGCGGCGCUCUGGGCGCUCUCUGGGCCAGCAUCGGUUCUUGCUGCGGGAGAAUGGGUGCCGGAAAGUGGCUCUUCGGAGUGUUAUAGCCGGCGCCAGAUACCGCGUGCGGGGACCGAGGACUGCGGCUUCUGUCUCGGAUGCUGGCACAACGGCGCAAUACCGCCCGU